rnacentral:rRNA from 1 species
GAGUUUGAUCCUGGCUCAGAUUGAACGCUGGCGGCAUGCCUUACACAUGCAAGUCGAACGGCAGCACGGGAGCUUGCUCCUGGUGGCGAGUGGCGAACGGGUGAGUAAUGCAUCGGAACGUAUCCUGGAGUGGGGAUAACGUAGCGAAAGUUACGCUAAUACCGCAUAUUCUGUGAGCAGGAAAGCGGGGGAACCUUCGGGGCCUCGCGCUCUUGGAGCGGCCGAUGUCGGAUUAGCUAGUUGGUGAGGUAAGGACUCACCAAGGCGACGAUCCGUAGCAGGUCUGAGAGGAUGAUCUGCCACACUGGAACUGAGACACGGUCCAGACUCCUACGGGAGGCAGCAGU